rnacentral:tRNA from 1 species
CGCUGAGUAGGGUAGAGGUUUGCCCGUCGGGCUCAUGAUCCGGUUUUAAGUUGGUUCGAUUCCAACCUCAGCA